AGUGAGUGAGUCAAAAACCUACCAAAGAAUGAGUGUUUAGAACUUAGAGUGUAAAUGUCAAACGCACACGUGGGAUGAAAAACGAAAACAAGAAUCAACAAAACAACAUCAACGAAAGGAAACAAAUCAAGCGCCAAAUUUUGCAAUUCCAACUGUGACCCGAAUUGUUCCUCUCUCGCGAAAAUUCGCCAUAGCUGUUGGGAAGGAACAGCAGGAGCAUCAGCAGCAGCUUUUCGGAAGACGGCGAGCGAUUCGACGGCAACAACAAACAAGCCGGAAAAUAUUGGAAGCCAUUGCACUGCGACUGAAAACAAAGAUUACCGAAGCACCGAAACGGAAUCAGAACCAACGGAGACGAAGUGGCACUUCAGAGUACGCCGUCAUAGGGUGUGAGCAAGAGGCGUAUCGCCUUCUCGUCAACCACACAAACGACGGUGGAAGUUUUGCUUUGCAACACACAGGCGGCCCCUACUGGGGUCGUUUUUGGGAGCUGAGAAAAUCGCUUUUCGGGACUCGAUUUUCGCCAUCUUGGUUUUGCGAGUCCCGUUUUUGCGAAAGUAAGCUGCGGACGUGAGGAGAGCCAGCCGGAAGUCGUCGGCAGUGCUCCGGGCAGCUGCGGUACGUCCGUCGAAGCAGUGCAGCAAGGCAGGGUUGCCAGUAAACCGGAUACGACUGCAAUACGAAAAUUAAAGCUGUGAUACACCUGUGCCGUCCAAGCAGCUGUGAUAUGAUUGUUGUUAUUGUUUUGAUGUUAUGGUAGGAACGGGCCCGUGAGUAAUAAUGUAAGCUAGCUUAAGUUUUUAAAAUGUCGUGUGUAAGUAAAUAAUUAUAAUUGCUACAGAUUUGGGUUUUGCGUGUUGUGUUUUGGGUAAAAGUUAGCCGAGCAGCACACACUGAAAGUCAGUGGUGCUCAACCUGUUUCAAUGUAACAGACAAAUAAUAGCCACUGUGGGCUGAGUUUUGUUGUUACGAUGUGUAAUGCUGGACUGU